rnacentral:lncRNA from 1 species
AUUUGAUUUAUUUGAUGGAUUUUAGUAGCAUAAGUUUUUGGCACAUGAGGUAGUGUUUGGAUGGUUUAAAAACUGAUUUUUGGGAAAAUUUUACAAUACGAGUCAAUCUAUGAAGGUCAUGUGUCGACCUAUGAAGGCCAUGUGUCGGCCUAUGAAGGUCAUGUUUCCACACAUGCAGUAAGCACAUCUAAUAGAACAUUACAGGCUUUAAAAAUGAAGUACAUGUGU